AAGGAAACGAAAAAGAAAAAAGUUCAGAGGGCUACUUUUGGGUCAAAUCCAGUUGUCCUUUUUUUUGUUUACCAGGUUUUUUUCGUCCUCUCUUCUUUUUUGU
rnacentral:ribozyme from 11 species